UCACCUCUGUGAUGGCAAAACACUGGGCUCUGAUCUCAUAUGAGGACAGUGUUCUCCGGGACCUUUGACACAAGGUUCUGCUCCUUCUGCUCAAAAAGGGGGAA